AACGAACGUUAGCGGCGCGCCUAACACAUGCAAGUCGCACGAGAAAGGGCUUCGGCCUCGGUAAAGUGGCGCACGGGUGAGUAACACGUGGGUAAUCUGCCCUCGAGCGGGGGAUAACAUUCCGAAAGGAGUGCUAAUACCGCAUAAGACCACGACCUCGAAAGAGGAUGCGGUACAAAGCUGGCCUCUAUACAUAAGCUAGCACUUGAGGAUGACGCCCGCGGCGCAUCAGGUAGUUGGUGAGGUAACGGCUCACCAAGCCAAAGACGCGUAGCUGGUCUGAGAGAUGAUCAGCCACACUGGAACUGAGACACGGUCCAGACUCCUACGGGAGGCAGCAGUGGGGAAUCUUGCGCAA
rnacentral:rRNA from 1 species